rnacentral:rRNA from 1 species
AGAGUUUGAUCAUGGCUCAGAUUGAACGCUGGCGGCAGGCCUAACACAUGCAAGUCGAGCGGCAGCGGGAAAGUAGCUUGCUACUUUUGCCGGCGAGCGGCGGACGGGUGAGUAAUGCCUGGAAAAUUGCCCAGUCGAGGGGGAUAACAGUUGGAAACGACUGCUAAUACCGUAUAAUGUCGCGAGACCAAAGUGUGGGACCUUCGGGCCUUGCGCUAUUGGAUAUGCCCAGGUGGGAUUAGCUAGUUGGUGAGGUAAUGGCUCACCAAGGCGACGAUCCCUAGCUGGUCUGAGAGGAUGAUCAGCCACACUGGAACUGAGACACGGUCCAGACUCCUACGGGAGGCAGCAGUGGGGAAUAUUGCACAAUGGGCGCAAGCCUGAUGCAGCCAUGCCGCGUGUAUGAAGAAGGCCUUCGGGUUGUAAAGCACUUUCAGCGAGGAGGAAAGGUUGAUGCCUAAUACGUAUCAACUGUGACGUUACUCGCAGAAGAAGCACCGGCUAACUCCGUGCCAGCAGCCGCGGUAAUUC